rnacentral:rRNA from 1 species
AACGAACGCUGGCGGCAGGCUUAACACAUGCAAGUCGAACGCCCCGCAAGGGGAGUGGCAGACGGGUGAGUAACACGUGGGAACAUGCCCAAAGGUACGGAAUAUCCUCGGGAAACUGGGAGCAAUACCGUAUGUGCCCGAAAGGGGAAAGAUUUAUCGCCUUUGGAUUGGCCCGCGUUGGAUUAGCUAGUUGGUGGGGUAAAAGCCUACCAAGGCGACGAUCCAUAGCUGGUCUGAGAGGACGACCAGCCACACUGGGACUGAGACACGGCCCAGACUCCUACGGGAGGCAGCAGUGGGGAAUCUUGGACAAUGGGCGCAAGCCUGAUCCAGCCAUGCCGCGUGAGUGAUGAAGGCCCUAGGGUUGUAAAACUCUUUCGUGGGGGACGAUAAUGACGGUACCCCAAGAAGAAGCUCCGGCUAACUUCGUGCCAGCCGCCGCAGUAA